rnacentral:tRNA from 1 species
CAGUGGCCUAACGGAUAAGGCUCUGGACUUCUUAGCCAGGGAUUGUGGGUUCAAGUCUCAUCUG